AGAGUCCCAGGCAACAGGGACAGAGAGACUGGCCCAGCAGGGGCUCUCUGGGCCAACUGAGCAAGGUGACAGGGCCCAGGAAAGGAGCUGUUGCCUGCACAAGGGCAGAUGGAGUCAAGGAAUCAGUGUUCAUGGGAUCCUGGCUGUCCCCACAGUGUCGUGGCUGAACCUUACAAGAACAGAAGCAAGUGAAGCACAGGUAGCCAGCCACCUCAAGGGGGAAGUAUUGAUAACGAAGGGACUCAAAGCAGCAUAGACAUGGGAUGCUGAGGGGCCAAGUGAGCAGAGCAGAGAGUGAGUGCUGCAAGUCCUCGGAGGGGUCAACCGGGACCCAAGCAUCCAGAAAAGGCAGGGACCAUGCAAAGGGGUCCGAAAAAUGGGACCUUCAGUGGAAAGCACUGAGAAGACCAUUAUUCAGUCUCUGUGCCCAGAAUCACUGUCUGCCAGGCUCUGGCCAACCUGUAGCCUCUCCGUGCUGAAAACGACCCGCUAAAAAAGCCAAGAGGGAAGGACCCAGCACACAGCCGUGAACCACAUAUACACGAAGAGGGCCUAAAGUGAAAAAGAUAAACUUUAAAUCAAACGGAAACUUUUUCCAGCAACUUCCACUCUUGUGAUACUGAACUGAACUGAAGCAGAAGAUUUUAAGAGUUGCCUGAAUCCUUUGGACCUGCUUAUUGGCUUAAAAAGUCUAAUUGUGAAAUUGACUUAAAAAUUCCUAAUUGUGAAAGAAGGGGUCUCUUCUUUGGCAUGGCACUCUCACUAACAAUUUUCUUGGUAAGAGGACCCAACAAACAGCAAUAGAAAUAGAAAACUAUGGAUUGCUAGGUGAGAGUAUUUUUUAACCUGCUUCAAUCUACAACUGCAAAAUGAACUGGCCCAAUUUAAUUAGAAAAAUUUCAGUUUCUGACCACUGAUCUACAUUACUGAAAGGUUACAUGUGAAAUAAAUGUGGGGUGUGUGUG